rnacentral:rRNA from 1 species
AACGCUAGCUACAGGCUUAACACAUGCAAGUCGCGGGGCAGCAUGUCGGUUGCUUGCAACCGAUGAUGGCGACCGGCGCACGGGUGAGUAACGCGUAUCCAACCUACCCUUCACCACGGAAUAAUCCAGUGAAAAUUGGUCUAAUACCGUAUGAGGUCAUACGAUGGCAUCAGAAUAUGACGAAAGGUUUAGCGGUGAAGGAUGGGGAUGCGUCUGAUUAGCUUGUUGGUGAGGUAACGGCUCACCAAGGCGACGAUCAGUAGGGGUUCUGAGAGGAAGGUCCCCCACAUUGGAACUGAGACACGGUCCAAACUCCUACGGGAGGCAGCAGUGAGGAAUAUUGGUCAAUGGGCGAGAGCCUGAACCAGCCAAGUAGCGUGCAGGAUGACGGCCCUAUGGGUUGUAAACUGCUUUUAUACGGGGGUAAAGUCAUCCACGUGUGGAUGUUUGCAAGUACCGUAAGAAAAAGGAUCGGCUAAUUCCGUGCCAGCAGCCGCGGUAAUACGGAAGAUCCGAGCGUUAUCCGGAUUUAUUGGGUUUAAAGGGAGCGUAGGCCGGAGAUUAAGCGUGUUGUGAAAUGUAGUGGCUCAACCUCUGCACUGCAGCGCGAACUGGUCUUCUUGAGUACGCACAACGUGGGCGGAAUUCGUGGUGUAGCGGUGAAAUGCUUAGAUAUCACGAAGAACUCCGAUUG